CCUACGGGUGGCAGCAGUGGGGAAUAUUGCGCAAUGGGCGCAAGCCUGACGCAGCGACGCAGCGUGAGGGAUGAAUGCCUUCGGAUCGUAAACCUCUGUCAGCAGGGAAGAACGGUCACUGUGCUAAUCAGCAGUGAAUUGACGGUACCUGCAAAGGAAGCACCGGCUAACUCCGUGCCAGCAGCCGCGGUAAGACGGCGGGUGCGAGCGUUAAUCGGAAUUACUGGGCGUAAAGGGCUCGUAGGCGGUAUGUCAAGUAAAUUGUGAAAGCCCCGGGCUCAACGUGGGAAUUGCAUUUGAUACUGGCAGUCUUGAGGACAGUUGAGGAAGGUGGAAUUCCAGGUGUAGCGGUGAAAUGCGUAGAUAUCUGGAGGAACAUCGAUGGCGAAGGCAGCUAUCUGGCACAGAACUGACGCUGAGGAGCGAAAGCGUGGGUAGCAAACAGGAUUAGAUACCCCAGUAGUC
rnacentral:rRNA from 1 species